CCCCUUUCAGGGUCGCACCUGGGGAGUUUCCAGUACUCUACCGGUCUCGACUACGGGAGGGAGAGUCAAGCAGAGGCAUACCCAAUCCAUUCCUAGCUUGCCCAGUGGCUAGUGAGUGGAAGGCAAUUUGCUACAAAU
rnacentral:snoRNA from 1 species